rnacentral:rRNA from 1 species
AGAAUCAACGCUGGCGGCGUGCCUAACACAUGCAAGUCGAUCGAGAAAGUGGAGCAAUCCAUGAGUAAAGAGGCGCACGGGUGAGUAACACGUGACUAACCUACCUUCGAGUGGGGAAUAACCUGGGGAAAUCCGGGCUAAUACCGCAUAACAUCGCAGAGGGAAGCUCUUUGCGAUCAAAGGAGCAAUUCGCUCAAGGAGGGGGUCGCGGCUGAUUAGUUAGUUGGUGAGGUAACGGCUCACCAAGACAAAGAUCAGUA